UGCGCGCCUUUUACAAGUUCA
rnacentral:piRNA from 1 species